UCAUUGAGUUUUUUAAUCAAGAACAUGUCACACAUGUGGAUACCAAAUGUAUAUCUGUGACAAAUAAAACCUUAUUUUUACAUACACAUUUUCCAGGGGGCGCUAUUGCAGCCAUUUUUGUAUUUUCGUACAUCAGUCUGUUCAGGGUUGAGGUGUGAACUCAUGAUUCAAAUUUGAGUGAAAUCGGCCAAAGUUUGUGCAAAUUAUCACUGGUUGAAGUUUGAUGGUGAGUCCCAUGUCACGCCCCUGCCUGUGACCUGAGUCUUCCUUGUGUGGACGUGGGCGGAGUCUGCUGGGAGCACCUGCUCUCCAUCUGCAAUCAAGCCUGCUACAAAGACCCAGCUCUCCUGCCAGACUCUGCCAGAUUGUUUCGUCUACCUGAUGUUCCCGCUGUGGAAGACUCCGGCAUUCCAGCUCCUGGCUCCUCGCUCCUCCACUGCCUAUCCUGCCUCGUCAAUAAACCUUUGUUUCUUUUUUGCA